rnacentral:rRNA from 1 species
CCUACGGGGGGCUGCAGUGGGGGAUAUUGCACAAUGGGGGAAACCCUGAUGCAGCGACGCCGCGUGGGUGAAGAAGUAUUUCGGUAUGUAAAGCCCUAUCAGCAGGGAAGAAAGAAGACGGUACCUGACUAAGAAGCCCCGGCUAACUACGUGCCAGCAGCCGCGGUAAUACGUAGGGGGCGAGCGUUAUCCGGAUUCACUGGGUGUAAAGGGAGCGUAGACGGCCGUGCAAGCCAGGAGUGAAAGCCCGGGGCCCAACCCCGGGACUGCUCUUGGAACUGUGCGGCUGGAGUGCGGGAGGGGCAGGCGGAAUUCCUGGUGUAGCGGUGAAAUGCGUAGAUAUCAGGAGGAACACCGGCGGCGAAGGCGGCCUGCUGGACCGCGACUGACGUUGAGGCUCGAAAGCGUGGGGAGCGAACAGGAUUAGAUACCCGAGUAGUC